UACCGUGGAUCCCUACCGAAGGUGCUU
rnacentral:piRNA from 1 species